rnacentral:rRNA from 1 species
GACGAACGCGGGCGGCGUGCCUACUAAAUGCAAGUCGAACGAGUGGCGGACGGGAGGGUAAUGUAUGGGGAUCUGCCUGAUGGAGGGGGAUAACUCCUGGAAACGGUAGCUCAUACCGCGUACCAUCAACUGAACCCAUAUGGGAUUAGCUUGUAGGUGCGGUAACGGAUCACCUAGGCGACGAGCCCUAGCGGGGCUGAGGGGAUGAUCAGCCACACGGGGACUGAGACACGGCCCAGACUCCUACGUGAGGCAGCAGUGGGGAAGAUUGCACAAUGGGCGCAAGCCGGAUGCAGCCAUGCCGCGUGUAUGAAGAAGGCCUUCGGGUUGUAAAGUACUUUCAGUCGGGAGGCGUUACCGACAGAAGAAGCACCGGCUAACUCCGUGCCAGCCGCCGCGGUAAUAC